GGCGGUAUGCUUAACACAUGCAAGUCGAACGGUAACAGGCUUUCGGGCGCUGACGAGUGGCGGACGGGUGAGUAACGCGUAGGAAUCUGCCUCAUAGUGGGGGACAACGUGGGGAAACUCACGCUAAUACCGCAUACGCCCUACGGGGGAAAGGAGGGGAUCUUCGGACCUUUCGCUAUGAGAUGAGCCUGCGUUAGAUUAGCUAGUUGGUAGGGUAAAGGCCUACCAAGGCGACGAUCUAUAGCUGGUCUGAGAGGACGAUCAGCCACACUGGGACUGAGACACGGCCCAGACUCCUAAGGGAGGCAGCAGUGGGGAAUAUUGGACAAUGGGCGAAAGCCUGAUCCAGCAAUACCGCGUGUGUGAAGAAGGCCUUAGGGUUGUAAAGCACUUUCAAUUGGGAGGAAAACCUAUCGGUCAAUACCCGGUAGCUUGACAUUACCUUUAGAAGAAGCACCGGCUAACUCCGUGCCAGCAGCCGCGGUAAUACGGAGGGUGCGAGCGUUAAUCGGAAUUACUGGGCGUAAAGCGUGCGUAGAGUGGAAAUUUUCAGGUGCUAGCGGUGAAAAUGCGUAGAUAUCUGAAAGGAGCACCGAGUGGACGAAGGCGAACUUCCUUGCUACUAGAAUCUGGACGCUUGAUGCUACGAAAGCGUGCGUAGC
rnacentral:rRNA from 1 species